rnacentral:rRNA from 1 species
AUUGAACGCUGGCGGCAUGCUUUACACAUGCAAGUCGAACGGCAGCGCGGGCUUCGGCCUGGCGGCGAGUGGCGAACGGGUGAGUAAUGCAUCGGAAAGUGCCCAGUAGUGGGGGAUAGCCCGGCGAAAGCCGGAUUAAUACCGCAUACGACCUGAGGGUGAAAGCGGGGGACCGAAAGGCCUCGCGCUAUUGGAGCUGCCGAUGUCGGAUUAGCUAGUUGGUGGGGUAAAGGCUUACCAAGGCGACGAUCCGUAGCUGGUCUGAGAGGACGACCAGCCACACUGGGACUGAGACACGGCCCAGACUCCUACGGGAGGCAGCAGUGGGGAAUUUUGGACAAUGGGGGCAACCCUGAUCCAGCCAUGCCGCGUGCGGGAAGAAGGCCUUCGGGUUGUAAACCGCUUUUGUUCGGGAAGAAAUCCUCUGGGCUAAUACCCCGGGGGGAUGACGGUACCGGAAGAAUAAGCACCGGCUAACUACGUG